rnacentral:sRNA from 1 species
UGCAGUGGUGCAGUGGUGUUUACAACUAACUGAUAACAACCAGUUACAGAUUACUUUGUUCCUUCUUCACUCCCAGUGCAUCGCUUGACCAGUAAAUA